GGGUGUGAAAAUGGGCUCGACAUUGAAUCGAGAAAAAUAUAAUUUUUAUAGUUUUAAAAUGGUUUUGAAUGAAUGAUGAAAUUAAAAAAAGAUUUGUGUUAUUAAAUAAUAAUGAAACCAUGAGUAUAAUAAAACAUAAACAUAAAAAAUGUUAAAAGAAAUAAAAUGCUAAAAGAAAUAAAAUGCUAAAAGAAAUAAAAUGCUAAAAGAAAAAAAAAUGCUAAAGGAAAAAAAAUUGCUACAUAUGAGUAUUGAAC
rnacentral:lncRNA from 1 species